rnacentral:rRNA from 1 species
UACGUAGGGGGCAAGCGUUGUCCGGAAUCAUUGGGCGUAAAGCGCGUGUAGGCGGUUCAGUAAGUCUGCUGUGAAAGUCCAGGGCUCAACCCUGGGAUGCCGGUGGAUACUGCUGGGCUAGAGUACGGAAGAGGCGAGUGGAAUUCCCGGUGUAGCGGUGAAAUGCGCAGAUAUCGGGAGGAACACCUAUGGCGAAGGCAGCUCGCUGGGACGUUACUGACGCUGAGACGCGAAAGCGUGGGGAGCAAACAGG